rnacentral:rRNA from 1 species
CCAAUAGCGUAUAUUAAAGUUGCUGCAGUUAAAAAGCUCGUAGUUGAAUUUCGGGACCAUCAUGUCGGUCGUGCCUCGGUACGUACUGGCAUUGUUGGUUUCUCCCUUCUGAAGAACCUUGAUGUCAUUAAUUUGGUGUCUUGGGGAAUCAGGACUGUUACUUUGAAAAAAUUAGAGUGUUUAAAGCAGGCCCGCGCUUGAAUACAUUAGCAUGGAAUAAUGAAAUAGGACGUUUGAUUCUAUUUUGUUGGUUUCUAGGAUCGACGUAAUGAUUAAUAGGGAUAGUUGGGGGCAUUAGUAUUCAAUUGUCAGAGGUGAAAUUCUUGGAUUUAUUGAAGACUAACUACUGCGAAAGCAUUUGCCAAGGAUGUUUUCAUUAAUCAAGAACGAAAGUUAGGGGAUCGAAGACGAUCAGAUACCGUCGUAGUCUUAACCAUAAACUAUGCCGACUAGGGAUCGGAUGAUGUUAAUUUUUUUAAUGACUCAUUCGGCGCCUUACG